UUGCGGCAAACAGGGACGCACCAGGCCUGGAGGUUUUUUGUUUUGUUUUGUUUUUCAUUUGCUUCUAUCAGGCUAGGGAAAAAGAACAUGCUGGAUCCUUCACAGAUCUUCUUAUGCUAAUCCUCUCUGUGGAGUUCUUGGUGUUGACAUUGGCUAUCAGACUGGCCAACAUGGUGAAACCCCGUUGCUACUAAAAAUACAAAAAAAUUAGCCGGGCGUAUCAUUUAAUAUUAUACAUUUAAUAAUAUAUUUACAGAUCUUCCCAUAUCAGCAUACACAAAGCUAUUACAUCGUUUUUUAAAGACUUGAUUU
rnacentral:lncRNA from 1 species